UUCAACUCAACCGCAACUCUAGCCAGUCUUCAUUACACCGGAUUUCAGGGUUAUGAGCCCGGAUCUUCAUGUCGUUCCAUUCUCUUCGUUUCCGAGACAUCUUGUGAAGAAUUGUGAGGUAGUUGUUUGUCAUCCCAGCGAACCUUCCUAUUCCUGUUUAUGACUUUGUUUUUACUUGAAAGACAACAUCAUGUUAGACCGUGUAUCUUAUUUUAGUUUUGUUAUUUACAUUAGAGGUUUGUGCAUGUGACAACCAGGUUUUGGGGAUUGAAUUAAGUAGAAUCGUUUUUGUAUCGGUAAUUGUUAUCAGACUUUGGUUUUAUUUUCGUAUUUUAUCAAAAUUAUUGGGUUAGGCUGA